UACAAUUCGUUAGAUGCACUAGAAAUAUU
rnacentral:sRNA from 1 species